AUUCAAUCACAGCCUCAAGUUCAAAAGUGAAUUAAAACUCAAAGAAGCCUGGGGACAGGGACAAGGGUACUUCUGUCAUUCAUUCUCUUCCCCUGCUUCCUUGGGGACAAGGGUGGCCUGGAGGAACAAUAGUGUCCCCUGGCCCCUUCUUCCUGCAUUGGGUUAGAAAAGGCAGCAGAAAGCAGUGGGGAUGACAAAGACACACACACACACACACACACACACACACACACACCAGGCUUGAGAAGGGAGGAGGAGGAGGCGUCUCUGGCUGGAUGCACAGACUGUUAUUUUGGUGGUGGGCAUGGUCCCAGAUAGGGGCAGCGUCCCCCUUUUUCCUGGCUUUCCAGGGAGAGCAGCAAGAGAAAGAAAGAAGCAAACGAAAUUCCUGAAUGGAUAAGAGAUGCUACGUCAGCGGUACUGGAGCCGCAUCCUCCACUCCACGAGAAGAGAAGAGCUAGGAGAGACCAGCGGGCGGGCGGUAGCUGUGGCGAGUGGCCUCUCCGUGCGGCACAGAGGCAAGAAGCAGCCAUCCAUCCAGAAGCAGCCUCCGUGUUCCAUUUGUCCGGAUGUCAUCGUAGGUGGCCGGCAUCUCUGGCUUUGGGGCAGACAUCCAGAUCUGAUGAGGCAUGGCUGCCCCGGGAUUACUGGGCUCGGACGGGAGCAGUGGUAGGAAGGAUCCUAUGUAAGUCAUGUGAGACAUAGAAUGUUCAGAUCAACUGAAGCUGAAACAAGCCUUUGGCAUCAUAUAUAACCCAGAAAGGGACACAGCUGAUCCCAGAGGACUCAAGGCUAUGUCAAAGGUGCAGAAGAAUCGAGUUGGAAAGACCAGCAGGAGACAGUCAGAGUAAGGUUCCUUGAAUGCUUGGUUUAUGUGCCUGGCUGGAGGAGACACCCAUGGCCUUGCAGAGGGAGCGAUCUGGUGGGAAAGCAGACAAAACCCACCCCAGGCCCGUGGUUUCCCUGCAACAAGCCCAGUGGCUUUCUGGAGGACACUUUUCCUGGAGGAAGUGAUUCAAGCACAAGUUCUUGGUGGCCUCAUUUCACGGUCUCUUCCUGCUGAUCAG
rnacentral:lncRNA from 1 species